UUCCCUCUGGCCUCUGCAGGUUGACUCAUCACCAGGGAACCUAUGCCUCCUACAAGAUGAAGGCACCACUCCAGUAACAGCUCCAGGGACUGAGCCAAGGUGCCUGUGAGCUCCUAUAUGAGAGGCUCUGGAAAGCUCACCAAACACUUUCCUGACAACUUUGCCAGGGCCAUAUCUCCCAGGAAGAUCUUGUCUCCCCACUGAAGCCCCUGGCCCAGCCUCCUGCAGUGCCACGCUCCGUGUAUUUGACAAGCUGAGUUAGACACUCCAUGUAGUAGAGUGUCAGUUUGUCAAAUACCCCAA